AGGAAGCAGCUUGUCGCCAUGGUGACGUGCACCUGCCAUCUUGGUAGUAGCCGCUUUCGUCCAGCAGCUCCUCUACCACGGCCUGAGGAGAACCAGGGUGGAAUUUCAGUAACAUCAAAUUUGAGACAGUCACCUGUGGAAGCACCACAGGCCACCAGUCUGGACCGCUGGAACCAGACUCCAUUAGAUCACAUGACGCCUGGACCAGCUGCAGGGAAGAAACAUUUUGUAAGCCUUCACGGAGGUAAGAAACCAUAUUUGUAGUCCCACCUUGCUGAUCUCCGUCUUCAGGUUAUGCGGGUCACUUAACAUCCAUCAAGUUGACUUUGGUGAUGUCAUCGGUACCUCUUGAAAUGAUGUCUGUUCCUUUCCACGCCGAAGAGAAAGCGCAGCGCUCGGAAUGCGUAACACUGCCAAGCGACCAAUCGGCUCAUGUUACGCCAACCAUGUGUGUCAUCGUAUAUCACAAACACAAAAGAGUCAUACUUGUAAAGAGGACGGCUCGGCUUCAGAGUUUUGCGGUAAAGUCAGUUUGGCGAGGGUGUAGAUUCCGUUUUCCUGGAGGGGGAACUCGACUGGAUUCAAUUGUUAUGUUUUCCACUCACUUCUCGGUCGGAACCGACCUGCACCAUGUGAUGAGCGCACGAGUCUUCCAGGCUGAGCUCGGUCAGAGCUGUGCAGCAGGCUGGAGAAAAAAAAGAUAGAAAAAUAUUUCAGAUUUUUUACAAAUGGGCAGAAUGGAAGAAUGAAGCUUGUGAUUCUCCUUUCGGGAAAUGACUUGUUUACGUUCUCAGCCUGUGAUAAAACAUCUCUGGGGAUCCUGGAUGGUUUUUUUUUCAGGCAACAAAUCACUCGCUUAAACCGCUGCAGCUUGACCUCUAACCUCGAAAAAAAUGUUCCCUAGUCUGUGCUUGUGCUGUCGGCCAACCUGACUGCAGGGCCAUGACGUUGUCGGGAACCCGGCGCCGUCCGAGCUCCUCCGUUGUAUGUUCUCCGCCGGCGCUGUCAAAAUAUUAUUUUUUUUUGUAUCCAGGAAGGCACCAAAAACCAAUUGGACGCCUUGGAGAAGAUGAAACAUUUUCUGAAAAGAAGAAUAGAUGAGUAGAUAGUUGAAGUUACUCGUGCAAAGUUUUUACCUGAUGCUGAGGAUCCCUGUUGAGCAGUCGAAGACACAGCAGAACUCUGAGGGCCCAAUCGGGCGGCGCCAGCUCUAUCCAAUCACUGCACAGGAAGGAGAAGACCAAACUGUGUUGACUUUUUCUAUCUUAGAAUCAACAGCAAUUCUAUUUUACCUGCAGAGGCGGUUGUUGACCAGCAAGGUGAGGAUGUCUGCAAAAAGCUUCUGUGAUGGGUGGCUGCUAAAACAUCUCAGCUUGCUAUAUGUUACGCUGGAACAGGAACAUUAGCUCUUUAAAUGACCCUCUUAUUAUAUUACAUUGUGAGCCAUGAUAAUAUUUUUGGUCACCGGAACCUGAAUUUCUCCAGCUCGGCCGAUUCCCCAUUGUUGUCUUUGGGUGGGUGCGGGCUGUGGAAUCUGCUACCGACUGCUUUGGUUCGACCCGACACCUGCAACACAUAUGGAGCAGCGCACCUGAGGAAACAUGAGCCUCUUUGUAUCGAAAUCAAAACAGCCUGCUUUGUUUUCCUUCACCUCUUGUUUGUGGUUGCUCUUGGCAAGCAGGGCCUGAAGCCUUCUCAGAUGACAU